ACUUGGCUGGCUCAGUUGGUGGAGCAUGUGACUCUUAAUCUCGGGGUUGUAGGUUCAAGCCCCAUAUUGGGUG
rfam:Ailuropoda melanoleuca scaffold98_76, whole genome shotgun sequence.